rnacentral:rRNA from 1 species
CGAGACAGAUGCUAAUACCGGAUAACAACAGAUGAUGCCUAUCAACUGUUUAAAAGAUGGUUCUGCUAUCACUCUUGGAUGGACCUGCGGUGCAUUAGCUAGUUGGUAGGGUAACGGCCUACCAAGGCGAUGAUGCAUAGCCGAGUUGAGAGACUGAUCGGCCACAUUGGGACUGAGACACGGCCCAAACUCCUACGGGAGGCAGCAGAC